rnacentral:rRNA from 1 species
AGUGAACGCUGGCGGUAGGCCUAACACAUGCAAGUCGAACGGCGGCACAGUAAGAGCUUGCUCUUACGGGUGGCGAGUGGCGGACGGGUGAGGCAUACAUCGGAAUCUACUUUUUCGUGGGGGAUAACGUAGGGAAACUUACGCUAAUACCGCAUACGACCUACGGGUGAAAGCAGGGGAUCUUCGGACCUUUCGCGAUUGAAUGAGCCGAUGUCGGAUUAGCUAGUUGGCGGGGUAAAGGCCCACCAAGGCGACGAUCCGUAGCUGGUCUGAGAGGAUGAUCAGCCACACUGGAACUGAGACACGGUCCAGACUCCUACGGGAGGCAGCAGUGGGGAAUAUUGGACAAUGGGCGCAAGCCUGAUCCAGCCAUACCGCGUGGGUGAAGAAGGCCUUCGGGUUGUAAAGCCCUUUUGUUGGGAAAGAAAAGCAGCAGGUUAAUACCCCGCUGUUCUGACGGUACCCAAAGAAUAAGCACCGGCUAACUUCGUG